rnacentral:miRNA from 1 species
UUUGUAUUACGUGCGGAAAUUGUUACCAUUUUCGGCUCAAAAAUGGUAAGAAUUUCCACACGUAAUACAAA